AUCAGGGACGACGGCGCUUCCUACUUCCGUGUGCCACCGUCAAAGAUGCUGACGCACUGUGAAGUCGAUGCCUAGAGCCGCGGCCGCUCACUUAGCCACGGUCCACGCACACGGCUCUUUCGUUCGAAGCGCGGUUGAGAGCGCUGCAAUACGAUAGCGCAUGGGCGUAGUCACGUGGUUUUGUUUCAUAUUUCGCGAGCUUUCUUUAAACGCCAAAAAAAACGCCACGCAGCAUGUACGUACAACAUAUUGUAUUGGCCAUC
rnacentral:lncRNA from 1 species